AGCAUGCUCUGACCCACAGAACACAAGCACCAUGUCUCCCCUUGGGAGGAACAUUCCUGAACUAGGCCUUUCCUCCCUACCAAAGGCCUUAGGGAAGGUGUUCAGCCAAACGACCAUCUGCCGCUUUGAGGCUCUGCAGCUCAGCUUGAAGAACAUGUGUAAGCUGCGGCCCCUGCUGCAGAAGUGGGUGGAGGAAGCUGAUAACAACGAGAAUCUGCAGGAGAUAUGCAAAGCAGAGACCCUGGUGCAGGCCCGAAAGAGAAAGCGGACGAGCAUCGAGAACCGAGUGAGGGGCAACCUGGAGAGCAUGUUCCUGCAGUGUCCGAAGCCCACCCUGCAGCAGAUCAGCCACAUCGCCCAGCAGCUGGGGCUUGAGAAGGACGUGGUCCGAGUGUGGUUCUGCAACCGUCGCCAGAAGGGCAAAAGAUCAAGCAGUGACUAUUCUCAACGAGAGGAUUUUGAGGCUUCUGGGCCUCAUUUCUCAGGGGGACCAGUAUCCUUCCCUCUGGCAGCAGGGCCCCAUUUUGGUACCCCAGGCUAUGUGGGCCCUCACUUCACUACGCUGUACUCCUCGGUCCCUUUCCCUGAGGGUGAUGCCUUUCCUUCUGUGUCUGUCGCCACUCUGGGUUCUCCCAUGCAUUCAAACUGAGGUGCCUGCCCUUUGCUGGAAAGGGGAGAGCCAGGGAGAGUGCCCUAAGGAUUGUACCAGGGCUUUGGGGUUAAGUUCUUCGUUCACUAAGGGAUUGGGAACACAAAGGGUGUGUGUGUGUGGAGGUGGGGGGGCAGGGAGUUUAGGGUAACUGGUUGGAGGGAAGUUCAAUGAUGCUCUUGAUUUUAAUCCCCACAUCACUCAUCACUUUGAUCUUAAAUAAAGAAGCCUGGGACACAGUAGGUGGAUACUUUUGUCUUUGUCUUACUGAAGAAGGGCAUGGGGAUACCCAGUAGUAGAUAUUAACAGCUCUCAGACCCAAAUGACCCUAAAGCCAAAGUGCCAAACCUGCACAGUCACAGUAUCAGUGACAACUGGGACUGGAACAUAUUUAUUUGUGAGGCCCUUAUUCCUAAGUGCUAGAACUAAUGAGCUAGUUCUUAGGAGCUCAUAACAUGGGGUCUCGGGGAAUUUGAACCCUUAUUUCUGCCCACAGAUGUUAGUAUGUAGCCAUUCCCUACUGGGAGGUGGCUCUUUGCUUUCCCCACUGUACAAUGAAAGUCCUUGGGGUUGGUUGUCAUGCUAAGAAAUCGAGUCUAGAUCCUUAUUUCUUCUGCAUGCCCAAUCACCCCAGCCAGAAACGCCACCUUGUGCUGUCUUGACACCAGGGCUCAUUUGGUUUCCCUUUAAGGUUUCUGCCUACCCUGACCAUGAAUGACUCGGCUUUAGUCCCGGCUCUGGAGCUGUUUCCUCGAUGUGGAAACACUUGGGUUGGUGUUGCAUUUUCUACAAAUCAAAGGCAAGGCCCUCCACCAGUAAAGAUUAUGGCUUACUUUAUUGCGAUGGUCUCAACAUGCAAUAUCUCUGAGCUCAUCCCCUAUAUGUGCGCCUUUUCAGUGAACAGGUGUCAGUGGGGUUUUCUCUACUCGGAGUUUUUUCCUGGGCUCUCCAAAGACUGGUUGGGGGCUCUCAGGAGCCUCUCUCUCAUCAUCCAAUUCUGCCAAUACUCGACCGUGGGACAGUAAUGGCAGCAAAAUCUUGAGGUUUGACAUGGACUUGCUGAAACAUGAAGUAGAACUCCGAGGGGCUGCUUCCUGGGGG